AGAUAACGCCUAAGAGCAGCAGCGGCGGUAAUUCCAGCUCCAAUAGCAUAUAUUAAAGUUGUUGCGGUUAAAACGCCCGUAGUUGGAUCAGCGGAUUUGGAGAACGGUCUGCCGAUGGGCUGUACUGUUCUCCUGUCCUAUUUUCUCUAGUUCGCUCUAGGUGCUCUUCACUGAGUGUCUAGAGUGGCUGGAACUUUUACUUUGAAAAAAUUAGAGUGCUCAAAGCAGGCGUCUCAGCCUGAAUAGUGGUGCAUGGAAUAAUGGAAUAGGACCUCAGUUCUAUUUUGUUGGUUUUCGGAACAUGAGGUAAUGAUUAAGAGGGACAGACGGGGGCAUUCGUAUUGCGACGUUAGAGGUGAAAUUCUUGGAUCGUCGCAAGAGAACUACUGCGAAACAUNUUGCCAAGAAUGUUUUCAUAAAUCAAGGACGAUAGUUAGAGGUUCGAAGGCGAUCAGAUACCGCCCUAGUUCUAACCGUAAACGAUGUCAACCAGCGAUCCGCAGAGGUUAUUCAUUACUCUGCGGGCAGCUUCCGGGAAACCAAAGUUUUUGGAUUCUGGGGGGAGUAUGGUUGCAAAGCUGAAACUUAAAGGAAUUGACGGAAGGGCACCACCAGGAGUGGAGCCUGCGGCUUAAUUUGACUCAACGCGGGGAAACUCACCCGGCCCGGACACCGUAAGAAUUGACAGAUUGAGAGCUCUUUCUUGAUUCGGUGGGUGGGGGUGAUGGCCGUUCUCAGUUGGUGGAGCGAUUUGUCUGGUUAAUUCCGAUAACGAACGAGACUCUAGCCUACUAAAUAGAAGGCAAAUUAUUCGUUUGCUGUACUUCUUAGAGGGACUAG
rnacentral:rRNA from 1 species